rnacentral:rRNA from 1 species
AUUGAACGCUGGCGGCAGGCCUAACACAUGCAAGUCGAACGAGUGGCGGACGGGUGAGUAAUGUCUGGGAAACUGCCCGAUGGAGGGGGAUAACUACUGGAAACGGUAGCUAAUACCGCGUACCAUCGGAUGUGCCCAGAUGGGAUUGGCUUGUAGGUGAGGGAACGGCUCACCUAGGCGACGAUCCCUAGCUGGUCUGAGAGGAUGACCGGCCACACUGGAAGUGAGCAACGUGUCAGAUUCCUACGGGAGGCAGCAGUGGUGAAUAUUGCACAAUGGGCGCAAGCCGGAUUCAGCCAUGCCGAGUGUAUGAAGAAGGCAUUCGGGUUGUAAAGUACUUUCAGCGUGGAGGCGUUACCCUCAGAAGAAGCACCGGCCAACUCCGUGCCAGAAGCCGCGGUAAUAC